AUGCCGGCUCCCGCCACGCUCGCCGCCUUCAACACCCUCGUCGCCUCGCUCGCGCGCUCCAGCCGCCCCUCGCAGGCGCUCCUCGCCUUCCGUGACAUGCUCGCGCGGGGCUUCCCGCCCGACCACUUCACCCUGCCCCCGGUCCUCCGCAGCUGCGCGCUCACCGAAUCCGCCGCCCUGGCCGCCUCCUCGCACGCCCUCUCCGUCAAGCUCGGCGCCCACGGAAACCUCUUCGUGGCGUCCGCGCUCGUGCAGUGCUACGCGGGCAUGUCCAACCUCCCCGACGCGCGGAGGCUGUUCGACGGAAUGCGCGAGAGGGACGCCGUUCUGUGGACGUCCAUGCUGUCCGCGUACGCGCAGGGUGGGCAGCCGGAGGAGGCUCUGCGGCUGUUCCAGGGGAUGGUGGUGGCCGAGGUGCAGCUGGAUGCCGUGGUCAUGGUCAGCCUUCUUCUCGCGUGUGGACAGCUCGGGUGGCGGCGCCAUGGGAGAAGCGUGCAUGCGUGCUGCGUCCGGAUGUUCCUGGGGAUGCCGCUGUCUCUGGGGAACGCGCUUGUCGACAUGUACGUCAAGUGCGGCGAGCUUGAAUUCGCCGAACGCGUAUUUUCUGCGAUGCCCAGGCGGGAUGUUAUCUCGUGGAGCGCUCUGAUUGUUGGCCAUGGUUUGAAUGGGCGUCCUGAUGUCGCUUUGAGGCUCUUCGAUGAAAUGGUGGCCAAAGGAGUGGAACAGAAUUCGGUCACCUUUCUCGGCGCCCUGUCGGCCUGUGCGCAUUCAGGCAUGGUGGACAAAGCGUAUGCUAUAUUCGAGCAGAUGAAACAGCGGGGCAUCAACCGUGAGCUGAAGCAUUACUCUUGCAUGGCUGAUGCGUUAGGGAGGGCAGGCCGUGUUGUUGAAGCAGUAAAUCUCAUAGAGGAGAUGCCUUGCCAGCCUGACGAGGCUAUCCUUGGUAGUGUAUUGGCAGCUUGCCGGGUGCAUGGUGAAAUGGAUGCUGCUGAACGGAUUUCAAAGAGAUUGAUGAGCAUGUCUCCUGCAAAGAGCGGCUACUACAUGAGCUUGGCAAACAUAUAUUCAGAUGCUGGAAGGUAUGGUGAUGCAGAGAGAAUAAGAGGCUUCAUGAAGGAAGUUAAAGUCGACAAGCUUCCUGGAUAUAGUUCAGUUGAACUCGAUGUUUCCGUCUCUGAAUCAAAAAAUGUAUAA
rnacentral:rRNA from 1 species